GGGUAAUAGGAAAUCUCAAAACUACCCUGUAUUCUUGAUAAGCAAAAUUUGUUGUGACAAAUAAUAAUAACAAUACCUAUCUAUAACUAGCAAGUUGGAAAACAUGAAAAACUUGUCUAUCUAAAUAUCUUUGUCACAUUCAAUGUCAGUGCCUUAUGCAGGUAACAUCAAAUGGCAACCCACAGAUGGAGAUCUGUGAUAAAUGAAAAUUUCAUUUCAAAGUGUUACCUACCAAAAGUUAAUUAUCAAAUUACAGAAUUUAGACUUACAAAAUAAAUAAAAAUUAAAUAAUAAAUAUAAACAAACUGGAGAAAAAAAUAUGUUUAAUAAAAAGUAAAUUUAAAACUAAAAACCAAUGACUAACGAUUUUCUAGAAAAGAUAGAAUGUAUACCUUUUAACCAUUUACACAAACACACAAAAAACUAAAAUAUAAAAAUAAAAAAUAAUGUAUAACAAACUAAACAAAAUAUCACAUUAUAAUAACACUAAAAUUGAUUAUAAGUAGGUUUUAUGAGGUCAAGAGGUUCUUAAAGGGAUUUCCUGAAUUAAAAAAGGUUAACCGUAAUUGAUUAUUGAUAACACCUACUGGUAGUAUUAAACAAGUACUGAAAAUCAGAAAUUUUUGCAGUGUUUUUAAUUUUGCAAAAAAAUGCUUUUCUAGUAGUAGUUGACAAGCAAUAUCAUUUUAUUUAACCUGUUGCAUCAUUAUAUGAUAAUAAUCUCACAUCUUUGUUCAUUUUUCAAUAAUAAUUUGUAAUACCAAAUUAACCCAAAACUAUCAGAAUUUAAGCUAUAACUGAGACAAGUGUUUAAGUGUAACCAUUUUUCACAUAUUUGAGAAUUGAUUUUAAUAUCAGAGAACUUAUUCUAAUAUUUGAGAAUUUAUUCUAAUAUUUAAGAACUUAU
rnacentral:lncRNA from 1 species